rnacentral:sRNA from 1 species
GUUUGCACUCAUCGGGGAAGGGUGAGAACCUUCGACUAAGGUUCGAUUAGAGCGAAAGCGAGAGAACGUUGCCACAGGCAACGGCCCGAAGGGUGAGGAGCGAAGCGACGAAUAAUCCUUCCCCCACCACCA